AUAAAAUAAAACAAUAAAAAAGAAAGAAAACCAUUCCUAAACGAUCAAGUGAUUAGAAAUAAAACUAUUUAGCGUAUUUUCCAACUGUCCAAUUGACGGCGACAAACGAGAAAAAAUAAAGGCGAGGGUUAAUUAAAUGCAUGCCAUGUGAAUGAGUUUCGAAAGUGGCUCGACAUACGUGACAUGCAGGAACCAGGACCAGGAGAGGUCGAAGUGCUUGAGGACAAUGGAAAGCAAUACCCACCAAAGUGGAUUCCUGUCCACAGGAAAGAACCGCCUGUAAAUGAAAACCUGCCUGAAGAUGAAGAAAAGCCCAAUCAAGAAUUGUACUAUUUCAAACAGGACAUGUCACUCUUGCUUUGUAAUCUUGUACUUUUCUGCAUAAAUCUGGACAUAUUGCGUGAAGAAAUGUCAUUGGUCGAUUUGAUAAGGACGGAUUCAAUAAUAAUGCUGUCUGUGAGCAUUGCUUUACAGGUUGUACUUGUUCUGAUAAUGGUUUUGAAUAGUUCGCUUUUUGAAAAUUAUUUCAAACCCCUUAAUUCCAACAUUUUAAAUAAUCUGAGCCUUUCAACAAUAGUGGUCUUACUAAUAAUCAACGCUACCAUUUGGGUGUAUUAUAUUUCAGAAAUAAAAAGUUUUUUUUAGAGGAAUUGAUGAAACAAAGAAGAAUACGACUGGAGAGAAAGUACUACUGAAUAUGUUCAGAGUAAAAAUUAGCCAGCUUUGAAUGGUUAAAAUUUAACUUUGUUCUAUUCUGUUUUUUGAUUGACAAAAAAAAAACAUUACAUAGCAUUUAUAACAUAUAGGUGAGGUCCUUGCUGCGUUGAUCUGACAGAUUGAUGAUCAAAACAACUUAUACACAUCAUAAAACAUGCAAAUUAAAAAGUAAAAGUACAUCAACAAAUGACGGUAAGUUGGAUAAAUUGCAGUCUGAUGAUGAGUGAUUCAGCCUAAAAUCAGAAUAACUGCAAAACCAGUUGGUAAGUGCAUAUAAAAGCUCUUUAUCAGGAGUUAAGUUUAGCCUGCUAUUGGAGGUGUAAAAGCUCUUUAUCAGGA